rnacentral:rRNA from 1 species
GAAGCCAGGUAACUGGUGGAGGUGACCGGUACUAAUAGGCCGAGGGCUUGUCCUCAGUUG